rnacentral:rRNA from 1 species
CUUGACACUGAACAUUGAGCCUUGAUGUGUAGGAUAGGUGGGAGGCUUUGAAGUGUGGACGCCAGUCUGCAUGGAGCCGACCUUGAAAUACCACCCUUUAAUGUUUGAUGUUCUAACGUUGGCCCCUAAUCGGGGUUGCGGACAGUGUCUGGUGGGUAGUUUGACUGGGGCGGUCUCCUCCUAAAGAGUAACGGAGGAGCACGAAGGUUGGCUAAUCCUGGUCGGACAUCAGGAGGUUAGUGCAAUGGCAUAAGCCAGCUUGACUGCGAGCGUGACGGCGCGAGCAGGUGCGAAAGCAGGUCAUAGUGAUCCGGUGGUUCUGAAUGGAAGGGCCAUCGCUCAACGGAUAAAAGGUACUCCGGGGAUAACAGGCUGAUACCGCCCAAGAGUUCAUAUCGACGGCGGUGUUUGGCACCUCGAUGUCGGCUCAUCACAUCCUGGGGCUGAAGUAGGUCCCAAGGGUAUGGCUGUUCGCCAUUUAAAGUGGUACGCGAGCUGGGUUUAGAACGUCGUGAGACAGUUCGGUCCCUAUCUGCCGUGGGCGCUGGAGAACUGAGGGGGGCUGCUCCUAGUACGAGAGGACCGGAGUGGACGCAUCACUGGUGUUCGGGUUGUCAUGCCAAUGGCACUGCCCGGUAGCUAAAUGCGGAAGAGAUAAGUGCUGAAAGCAUCUAAGCACGAAACUUGCCCCGAGAUGAGUUCUCCCUGACUCCCUGAGAGUCCUGAAGGAACGUUGAAGACGACGACGUUGAUAGGCCGGGUGUGUAAGCGCAGCGAUGCGUUGAGCUAACCGGUACUAAUGAACCGUGAGG